rnacentral:rRNA from 1 species
CAAUAGCGUAUAUUAAAGUUGUUGCAGUUAAAAAGCUCGUAGUUGGAUUUCGGGGCAGCCUGGCUGGUCCGCCGCAAGGCGAGUACUGGUCAGCCGCCCUUCCUCUCGAAAGCCCCGACUGCUCUUCGUUGCAGUGGUCGGGUAGUUCGGGACGUUUACUUUGAAAAAAUUAGAGUGUUCAAGGCAGGCCUACGCCUGAAUACAUUAGCAUGGAAUAAUGGAAGAGGACCUCGGUCCUAUUUUGUUGGUUUCCAGGGCCGAAGUAAUGAUUAAGAGGGACAGUUGGGGGCAUUCGUAUUUAAUUGUCAGAGGUGAAAUUCUCGGAUUUAUGAAAGACGAACUACUGCGAAAGCAUUUGCCAAGGAUGUUUUCAUUAA